rnacentral:rRNA from 1 species
GAUGAACGCUGGCGGCGUGCCUAAUACAUGCCAGUCGAGCGAACAGAUGAGGAGCUUGCUCCUCUGACGUUAGCGGCGGACGGGUGAGUAACACGUGGAUAACCUACCUAUAAGACUGGGAUAACUUCGGGAAACCGGAGCUAAUACCGGAUAAUAUAUUGAACCGCAUGGUUCAAUAGUGAAAGACGGUUUUGCUGUCACUUAUAGAUGGAUCCGCGCCGCAUUAGCUAGUUGGUAAGGUAACGGCUUACCAAGGCAACGAUGCGUAGCCGACCUGAGAGGGUGAUCGGCCACACUGGAACUGAGACACGGUCCAGACUCCUACGGGAGGCAGCAGUAGGGAAUCUUCCGCAAUGGGCGAAAGCCUGACGGAGCAACGCCGCGCGAGUGAUGAAGGUCUUCGGAUCGUAAAACUCUGUUAUUAGGGAAGAACAAAUGUGUAAGUAACUAUGCACGUCUUGACGGUACCUAAUCAGAAAGCCACGGCUAACUACGUG